rnacentral:rRNA from 1 species
AUGACUAGUCACAACCUCAGUGUUCUAAACUGGAAUGUUCAAGGUUUAAAUUGCCCAAAUAGAAGAGUUGCUGUCAAUGAGAAUGUGGCCGCCUCAGCUUGCCACUUAAUUUGCUUCCAAGAAACAAAACUAGAGCUUGUUUACCCCAUGAUCGCCUCCUUCCUGGGCGGCUACAUGCUCAAGGGUUUUGCACAGCGACCUGCUAUAGGCACUCGUGGUGGAAUCCUUUUGCUUUGGGAUGAAGACCACAUGAAGCUUGAAAACGUGCAUUUCAUAACCUACACCCUCUUGGCAGUCACCCUCAUUAGCUCCGGUACCUAUUUCAACUUCACCACAGUCUAUGGACCGACGAGAAAUAACCUUAAGGACGAUUUCUUUAGCGAGCUGGCGGCUGAGAAGCCGCCUCACGACGAUGGAUGGUUGGUCACGGGCGACUUCAACCAAAUCUACUGCGCUCGAGACAAGAACCGUUCCAAUGCAAACGUAUGCAUCGCUCGCUUUCGAGACGUCCUCAAUUUCUGUGAGCUCAAAGAAAUUCACCUCCAAAAUAGGAAGUUCACCUGGAGCAAUGAACAAAGCAACCCAACCAUGUCCAAGCUUGAUGGUUUCUUCUGCAAUGAGGAUUGGGACAUCUUUGACAAGCAUAUCCUCCAGGCUCUGUCAUCGUCCCUCUCGGAUCAUUGCCCGCUACUGCUAGCUAACGACAAUGGCCCCCGACGGCCAAAGAGUUUCCGCUUUGAGAACUUCUUGACAAGCAUGCCUGGCUUUCGGAAAACCAUCCAGGAUGCUUGGAAUGAGCCCUCCGUGCACUCUAAGGCAUAGCAAAGUCUCUUCCAUAAACUUAAGCUUACUAGUCAAAGGCUUAGGUCUUGGAGCAAGACCCUCUUCUCCCAGGACAAAGUACAACUGCACAUGGCUCUGGAGCUCAUCUUGCGUCUCGAUGAGGCCCAAGAUCAUAUAGAUCUUAGCGCGGAGGAGGUGGACCUUCACAAAAGACUUAAGAAAAGAGUGGUCGGGCUGGCUGUGAUGAAAAGGCCUAGGAAAAAGCAAAACUCGCGGAUAACAAAUAUCAAGGAGGGGGAUGCAAACACCCGUUACUUCCAUCUUCGGAUCAACGGGAGACGCUGGAAAAAGCUUAUCCACAUACUCAAGCAUGGAGGUGGCUAG